UACGGGUCUCGCCGAAGCGUGAACCUCAACUCGCUACCUCCGCGUAGUGGUUGGAAUCCUCGCCGUUCAUGGCGGGGAGGACGUCAACGCAAGAUCACC
rnacentral:sRNA from 1 species